GCUAGCGGCUGGAGCGGUGUGUGUGUCGCGGCGUGUUGACGAAGCCCUGACGAGAAAGCGACGGCAUCGUAAAAGGAAAAGCCUGUCUAAUGGGGACGAAGUCAUUCAGAUGUUUACAUUUGGCACAUCAACGUGGCACACAAGUGAGGCCUGUUUUGCCAAGUGGUGCAGAAUUCACGAUACCAGCUCCACUACAGUGUCAGCAUGGAAACGUAGAGCACCAACCUAGUAAGCCUUCAGUGACCACGGUUUCACUCAUGCCCUCCCCAUUGAGACUUCAGGGUGAUAAUCAGAUGAGAUCAAACACCAUCUUCAUAAGACAAGCCACACUCCUUGCACCAUUGCCUUAUGCUGUCCAACAUGAUGCAAUGCUGCAACUGAUGGUGAAAAAGCCACUGGCGUGUGCCUGACUCCUGGGCAGGCAGAUACCCUCCAGCUGUGGUGUUGCAUUGGCAUUCAUCGAACAUGCGACAAGUG